rnacentral:rRNA from 1 species
UCGGGAAUUUUGGGCAAUGGGCGAAAGCCUGACCCAGCAACGCCGCGUGAAGGAUGAAGUAUUUCGGUAUGUAAACUUCGAAAGAAUGGGAAGAAUCAAUGACGGUACCAUUUAUAAGCUCCGGCUAACUACGUGCCAGCAGCCGCGGUAAUACGUAGGGAGCAAGCGUUGUUCGGAUUUACUGGGCGUAAAGGGCGCGUAGGCGGCAAAUCAAGUCAGCUGUGAAAUCUCCGAGCUUAACUCGGAACGGUCAGCUGAUACUGUUUUGCUAGAGUGCAGAAAGGGCAAUCGGAAUUCUUGGUGUAGCGGUGAAAUGCGUAGAUAUCAAGAGGAACACCUGAGGCGAAGGCGGGUUGCUAGGCUGACACUGACGCUGAGGCGCGAAAGCCAGGGGAGCAAACGGG